UACGGAGGGAGCUAGCGUUGUUCGGAAUUACUGGGCGUAAAGCGCGCGUAGGCGGCUUUGUAAGUUAGAGGUGAAAGCCUGGAGCUCAACUCCAGAAUUGCCUUUAAGACUGCAUCGCUUGAAUCCGGGAGAGGUGAGUGGAAUUCCGAGUGUAGAGGUGAAAUUCGCAGAUAUCAGGAGGAACACCAAUUGCGAAGGCAGCUCGCUGGGACGUUACUGACGCUGAGACGCGAAAGCGUGGGGAGCAAACAGG
rnacentral:rRNA from 1 species